GUUAUCUUUUUGGCAGCACAUACACUAAAAUUGGAACGAUGCAGAGAAGAUUGGCAUGGACCUUGUGCAGGGAUGACAUGUAAAUUAGUGACACAUUCCCUAUUUAA